UAAAACGUAGGAGGCGAGCGUUAUCCGGAGUUACUGGGCGUAAAGCGCAUGUAGGCGGUUGGGCAAGUGAUGCGUGAAAGCUCCCGGCUAAACUGGGAGAGGCCGUGUCAGACUGCUCGGCUAGAGGCGGAUAGAGGGGCGUAGAAUUCCGGGUGUAGCGGUGAAAUGUGUAGAGAUCCGGAGGAAUACCAGUGGGGAAACCGACGCCCUGGGUCCGAACUGACGCUGAGAUGCGAAAGCGUGGGGAGCGAACGGGAUUAGAGACCCCGGUAGUCCACGCUGUAAACGAUGCUUGCUGGGUGUACACUCCGCACUGCGGAGGGUGUGCCGAAGCUAACGCGCUAAGCAAGCCGCCUGGGGAGUACGGUCGCAAGGCUA
rnacentral:rRNA from 1 species